ensembl:snRNA U4 U4 spliceosomal RNA
AGCGCUGUGCAGUGGCAGUAUCGUAGCCAAUGAGGAUUAUCCGAGGCGCAAUUAUUGCUAAUUGAAAAUUUUUCCCAAUACCCUGCCAUGAUGACUGGAGACGUAGUGAGCAAUUUUUGGACGUCUCUACGGGGA